rnacentral:lncRNA from 1 species
UCCUGUGUUGUGGUGAAGUCCUUAGGACUAUUUAGACUCGACAAAGGAGGAUUUGUCGCUUAGUCCUUAAAUAUGUUCGUGACCAAAUGAUACAUUGUUAUCAAGGACGACAACGUUUAUCGAGCAUAGGUCGUUGUAUGCCAUAUGGGUUGGUUGUCCUCAUAACCAAAGAGUGUGGAGACACUGGUAUGGCAUACAGGUG